UGCCGCUGUGUCAACCACCCAUUCCGACUCUAGACCUGACAGGUGCAUGCAUUCCUCUUCAUUAUUUAUAAAGAGGACAACAUUGUCAUUGUUUUGCACCAUGGCAGUUGUGUUGUGGUCAUUCUUCUGGCCACUAGUUUCACCUUUGCCCUUCCUUGGAUUUGGGCAAUCUCUUUUGAAUGGACUCGACAGGUGCAUGCAUUCCUCUUCAUCAUUUAUAAAGAGGACAACAUUGUCAUUGUUUUGCACCAUAGCAGCUGUGUUGUCGUCAUUCUUCUGGCCACUAGUUUCACCUUUGCCCUUCCUUGGAUUUGGGCAAUCUUUUUUGAAGUGACCUGGUUGAUCACAGUUGUAGCAAUUUCUGGCUUUUGAUUUGGAUCGAUU
rnacentral:lncRNA from 1 species